GCCGGACCGACAACCAGUCAGAAGCCAGGGCCGGUGAGCCUCGCCGUCUCUCCGGAUCAGGACGCUAAUCAAAGGCUCGAUUCUUCCGCUAGGCUUUCUUCAUGAUUCUUCAAGUAAUUAAUAUAAUUUAAUCGAUCUUUUCAUGUCGGAUCAAUAGGGACAGUCCAAGGUGCCGUUGUGGCUUUGUUCAUGGAAAGAGGAAAUAUUGCCAUUUCGUCCAUGCAGUGUGACAUCAAAUUACUAGCAGCUAUAUACAGUGUAAGCACUCGCAAUAUCAUGCCUAUUUAACUGAUUUUCUUUUACAAAAUAACUUGUGAACAUUAAGAGAGAAAUUAUCAUGCUUUCGACUAUUAUCAAUUUUUGUUGUGAGUAGAUGCGGUGCUUGCGUGCACACGUGGAGUUGAGGUGUUCGCCCAAUAAAAGUUUCUCAGAUAAAUUAUCGUAAAUUGUAUGGGACGGGGAGAGAGACCCUCUUGAGGAAGAUGGCGAAAGGCGUGACGACGAUUAUGGCAACAAAGUGUCGGUAGACGACUAGCACGUAAUUGCUUGUGCCCUCGUUCAAGGCAACCUUGCAAAUGAUGUAAGCAUCUUCUUCAAUGGUGGCAUUUCCCCUGCACGAAGCAUAUGUUGAAUAAAUGAAGAUAAAAGUUGUUGUAGACUAAACUUCUAACAAAAAAAAAGUUCGAAAAUCUUGUUUUCUU